rnacentral:rRNA from 1 species
UGGGGAAUUUUGGACAAUGGGGGCAACCCUGAUCCAGCAAUGCCGCGUGUGUGAAGAAGGCCUUCGGGUUGUAAAGCACUUUUGGCGGGAACGAAACGGGCUCGGCUAAUACCUGAGCCUACUGACGGUACCCGCAGAAUAAGCACCGGCUAACUACGUGCCAGCAGCCGCGGUAAUACGUAGGGUGCAAGCGUUAAUCGGAAUUACUGGGCGUAAAGCGUGCGCAGGCGGUUUUGUAAGACGGAUGUGAAAUCCCCGGGCUCAACCUGGGAACUGCAUUCGUGACUGCAAGGCUAGAGUGCGUCAGAGGGAGGUGGAAUUCCGCGUGUAGCAGUGAAAUGCGUAGAUAUGCGGAGGAACACCGAUGGCGAAGGCAGCCUCCUGGGAUGACACUGACGCUCAUGCACGAAAGCGUGGGGAGCAAACA